UUAAGCGACUAAGCGUACACGGUGGAUGCCCUGGCAGUCAGAGGCGAUGAAGGACGUGCUAAUCUGCGAUAAGCGUCGGUAAGGUGAUAUGAACCGUUAUAACCGGCGAUUUCCGAAUGGGGAAACCCAGUGUGNCACACUAUCAUUAACUGAAUCCAUAGGUUAAUGAGGCGAACCGGGGGAACUGAAACAUCUAAGUACCCCGAGGAAAAGAAAUCAACCGAGAUUCCCCCAGUAGCGGCGAGCGAACGGGGAGCAGCCCAGAGCCUGAAUCAGUGUGUGUGUUAGUGGAAGCGUCUGGAAAGGCGCGCGAUACAGGGUGACAGCCCCGUACACAAAAAUGCACAUGCUGUGAGCUCGAUGAGUAGGGCGGGACACGUGGUAUCCUGUCUGAAUAUGGGGGGACCAUCCUCCAAGGCUAAAUACUCCUGACUGACCGAUAGUGAACCAGUACCGUGAGGGAAAGGCGAAAAGAACCCCGGCGAGGGGAGUGAAAAAGAACCUGAAACCGUGUACGUACAAGCAGUGGGAGCACGCUUAGGCGUGUGACUGCGUACCUUUUGUAUAAUGGGUCAGCGACUUAUAUUCUGUAGCAAGGUUAACCGAAUAGGGGAGCCGAAGGGAAACCGAGUCUUAACUGGGCGUUAAGUUGCAGGGUAUAGACCCGAAACCCGGUGAUCUAGCCAUGGGCAGGUUGAAGGUUGGGUAACACUAACUGGAGGACCGAACCGACUAAUGUUGAAAAAUUAGCGGAUGACUUGUGGCUGGGGGUGAAAGGCCAAUCAAACCGGGAGAUAGCUGGUUCUCCCCGAAAGCUAUUUAGGUAGCGCCUCGUGAAUUCAUCUCCGGGGGUAGAGCACUGUUUCGGCAAGGGGGUCAUCCCGACUUACCAACCCGAUGCAAACUGCGAAUACCGGAGAAUGUUAUCACGGGAGACACACGGCGGGUGCUAACGUCCGUCGUGAAGAGGGAAACAACCCAGACCGCCAGCUAAGGUCCCAAAGUCAUGGUUAAGUGGGAAACGAUGUGGGAAGGCCCAGACAGCCAGGAUGUUGGCUUAGAAGCAGCCAUCAUUUAAAGAAAGCGUAAUAGCUCACUGGUCGAGUCGGCCUGCGCGGAAGAUGUAACGGGGCUAAACCAUGCACCGAAGCUGCGGCAGCGACGCUGAUGCGUUGUUGGGUAGGGGAGCGUUCUGUAAGCCUGCGAAGGUGUGCUGUGAGGCAUGCUGGAGGUAUCAGAAGUGCGAAUGCUGACAUAAGUAACGAUAAAGCGGGUGAAAAGCCCGCUCGCCGGAAGACCAAGGGUUCCUGUCCAACGUUAAUCGGGGCAGGGUGAGUCGACCCCUAAGGCGAGGCCGAAAGGCGUAGUCGAUGGGAAACAGGUUAAUAUUCCUGUACUUGGUGUUACUGCGAAGGGGGGACGGAGAAGGCUAUGUUGGCCGGGCGACGGUUGUCCCGGUUUAAGCGUGUAGGCUGGUUUUCCAGGCAAAUCCGGAAAAUCAAGGCUGAGGCGUGAUGACGAGGCACUACGGUGCUGAAGCAACAAAUGCCCUGCUUCCAGGAAAAGCCUCUAAGCAUCAGGUAACAUCAAAUCGUACCCCAAACCGACACAGGUGGUCAGGUAGAGAAUACCAAGGCGCUUGAGAGAACUCGGGUGAAGGAACUAGGCAAAAUGGUGCCGUAACUUCGGGAGAAGGCACGCUGAUAUGUAGGUGAAGUCCCUCGCGGAUGGAGCUGAAAUCAGUCGAAGAUACCAGCUGGCUGCAACUGUUUAUUAAAAACACAGCACUGUGCAAACACGAAAGUGGACGUAUACGGUGUGACGCCUGCCCGGUGCCGGAAGGUUAAUUGAUGGGGUCAGCGCAAGCGAAGCUCUUGAUCGAAGCCCCGGUAAACGGCGGCCGUAACUAUAACGGUCCUAAGGUAGCGAAAUUCCUUGUCGGGUAAGUUCCGACCUGCACGAAUGGCGUAAUGAUGGCCAGGCUGUCUCCACCCGAGACUCAGUGAAAUUGAACUCGCUGUGAAGAUGCAGUGUACCCGCGGCAAGACGGAAAGACCCCGUGAACCUUUACUAUAGCUUGACACUGAACAUUGAGCCUUGAUGUGUAGGAUAGGUGGGAGGCUUUGAAGUGUGGACGCCAGUCUGCAUGGAGCCGACCUUGAAAUACCACCCUUUAAUGUUUGAUGUUCUAACGUUGACCCGUAAUCCGGGUUGCGGACAGUGUCUGGUGGGUAGUUUGACUGGGGCGGUCUCCUCCUAAAGAGUAACGGAGGAGCACGAAGGUUGGCUAAUCCUGGUCGGACAUCAGGAGGUUAGUGCAAUGGCAUAAGCCAGCUUGACUGCGAGCGUGACGGCGCGAGCAGGUGCGAAAGCAGGUCAUAGUGAUCCGGUGGUUCUGAAUGGAAGGGCCAUCGCUCAACGGAUAAAAGGUACUCCGGGGAUAACAGGCUGAUACCGCCCAAGAGUUCAUAUCGACGGCGGUGUUUGGCACCUCGAUGUCGGCUCAUCACAUCCUGGGGCUGAAGUAGGUCCCAAGGGUAUGGCUGUUCGCCAUUUAAAGUGGUACGCGAGCUGGGUUUAGAACGUCGUGAGACAGUUCGGUCCCUAUCUGCCGUGGGCGCUGGAGAACUGAGGGGGGCUGCUCCUAGUACGAGAGGACCGGAGUGGACGCAUCACUGGUGUUCGGGUUGUCAUGCCAAUGGCACUGCCCGGUAGCUAAAUGCGGAAGAGAUAAGUGCUGAAAGCAUCUAAGCACGAAACUUGCCCCGAGAUGAGUUCUCCCUGACUCCUUGAGAGUCCUGAAGGAACGUUGAAGACGACGACGUUGAUAGGCCGGGUGUGUAAGCGCAGCGAUGCGUUGAGCUAACCGGUACUAAUGAACCGUGAGGCUUAACCUU
rnacentral:rRNA from 1 species